GCCACCCUAGCUCAGCUGGUAGAGCAAUUGAUUUGUAAUCAAUAGGUCGGGGGUUCGAGUCCCCUGGGUGGCUCCA
rnacentral:tRNA from 1 species